rnacentral:rRNA from 1 species
UAGGGAAUCUUCCACAAUGGACGCAAGUCUGAUGGAGCAACGCCGCGUGAGUGAAGAAGGGUUUCGGAUCGUAAAGCUCUGUUGUUGGUGAAGAAGGAUAGAGGCAGUAACUGGUCUUUAUUUGACGGUAAUCAACCAGAAAGUCACGGCUAACUACGUGCCAGCAGCCGCGGUAAUACGUAGGUGGCAAGCGUUGUCCGGAUUUAUUGGGCGUAAAGCGAGCGCAGGCGGAAUGAUAAGUCUGAUGUGAAAGCCCACGGCUCAACCGUGGAACUGCAUCGGAAACUGUCAUUCUUGAGUGCAGAAGAGGAGAGUGGAAUUCCAUGUGUAGCGGUGGAAUGCGUAGAUAUAUGGAAGAACACCAGUGGCGAAGGCGGCUCUCUGGUCUGCAACUGACGCUGAGGCUCGAAAGCAUGGGUAGCGAACAGG